UGCUCUUUGUAAUAAGAUUAGGGGUAAAGUCUGCUCGAUGAUAAUAAAUUUAAUGGCCGCAGUAUUUUGACUGUGCGAAGGUAGCAUAAUCAAUUGUCUCUUAAUUAGGGUCUGGCAUGAAUGAUUAAAUGUGAGAAAAGCUGUUUUUAAAGUAAGUGUUGAAUUUGAAAGUUGGGUGAAGAUUCCUAAAUUGUUUUAAAAGACGAGAAGACCCCAUGAAGUUUAAUGUGUAAUAGAAUUUAUUAAUUUCUUUGGAGCAUUUGAUUGGGGCAAUUAUAUAAUAAAGGAAAUUUUUAUUUAAAAAGAUAUUUAUUAAUAGAUUAUAUUUAUGGGCCAAUGUGUUGAUGAAAAGAAUAAAUUACUCUGGGGAUAACAGCGUAAUUUUUUUAGAGAGUUCUUAUCGAUGAAAAUGAUUGCGACCUCGAUGUUGGAUUAAGAUACCUUUUUGGUGCAGGAGCUUAAGGGGGCAGUCUGUUCGAC
rnacentral:rRNA from 1 species